AGGACAAGGUCAUCAAUCAAUUACAAGAUGAGAUCAGAGAACAACAGGAUGAACGGAAAACUAUGAGUAAAGCAUUGCAAGAACAAGCCAAUUUCAGCAAUGAAUUGCAAGAGAAGUGUCUGGCUUUAGAAGCUCAAAGAACAAGUCAGGGAGAAGCCAUUCAUAAACAGCAGAAAGAACUGGACUUUUCUGCCGAGAGAGAAGAAAGGGUUAAAAAAGAGUUGGAGCAAUACCAAGAGAGGGUAAAAGGUCUUGAAGAAAGCAUU